rnacentral:rRNA from 1 species
AUCUUGCGCAAUGGGCGAAAGCCUGACGCAGCCAUGCCGCGUGAAUGAUGAAGGACUUAGGAUUGUAAAAUUCUUUCAUCGGGGACGAUAUUGACGGCACCCGGAGAAGAAGCCCCGGCUAAAUUCGUACCAGCAGCCGCGGUAAUACGAAGGGGGCUAACGUUGCUCGGAAAUACUGGGCGUAAAGGGCGCGUAGGCGGACAUUUAAGUCAGGGGUAAAAUCCCAGAGCUCAACUCUGGAACUGCCUUUGAUACUGGGUGUCUUGAGUGUGAGAGAGGUAUGUGGAACUCCGAGUGUAGAGGUGAAAUUCGUAGAUAUUCGGAAGAACACCAGUGGCGAAGGCGACAUACUGGCUCAUUACUGACGCUGAGGCGCGAAAGCGUGGGGAGCAAACA